rnacentral:tRNA from 1 species
GGAGGAUUUCCCGAGUGGCCAAAGGGGGCAGACUGUAAAUCUGUUGUCAUCGACUUCGGUGGUUCGAAUCCACCAUCCUCCACCA